GUACAUUUUCAGGCUUUGUCAUCCCCCGACUACACAGCACUCGGGACACAUUCCUUCCUACCUGGAGUUUGGUAUUGAUAUUGAAUUCCUCCAUUCCAUGAACAGCCUUGGGAACCAGAGCGCCUGCUGCGGACUCACUGUGAAACCCAGCCUCUCCUCGGAGCACUAAGAAGAGAUGUCUUCUGCCUUAUGGACUCUGAUCUCUCUCUCGACUCCAUCAUGCUGUUGCUUCUCUACCUGUCCACGGAAUUAAUAGCUUUUCUAAUAAAUGUCUUAGUUCCCAGUAAUCUUUCAGUGUCCCUCUUGGACACCCGACCCUGACACCACCAUCUAAAACCCAACAAUAACUGGCCAUUUUCUCAGCUGUUGAUGUUUACUGGGAGAUAAAUAGCUUCAGAUAACAGCUAACAGGAUCUUGAUGAACAAUCCAGAAAAGAGCUAGUACCAGCCACAGGGAUGCAGAGUUAGGAGGGCUGGUUUCUCAAGACAUGCCAGCACCUGGAAGCACACACUCUCCCAGGUCGUCCGGAUGAUUCUAACCAUGGCCUUGACUCUAUAUCCACACCACAGCUUCUGAAAGCCCUUUCUGUAAAGCCAGAUGCUCCCUGUAGUCUCCUGAGCAGGCACUGCCAGGCUGACUGGAUGCUCAGCAGUGCCAACUGGAUUUGCCAGUGUGAGAAGGGAGGAUUUUCUCAGCAGCAGCCCGAGAGAUCUCCCUCUAGUAGAAUUUUGAUGUGUAGGAGCACAGGGACCUCAUUUGUGUUCUGCUAAGAACACACAGUGCCGGAUGUGCUUGUGGGUGAAUACAUGGGUCAGGCUGCCAGGCCCAACCUAUGGCAACUGAACAGUGUCCAUCACACUCCCAGGAAGCCCUCAGAACAUCCCUUCUGCCCAAAGGAAGCUCUGUACACUCGCCCAACAUGUUUGAUUCAGAUACAGAGGACAAUGCCUGGGACAGAGACAACCAUUUCCAAAGAAGCAUCGAUGGUUGGGGUUGUCAAUUCACUAUGCAAGUGGAGCAGUGUGCAUCUGUCCACCACCCUUCUUUCCUCCCUGACUGUGAAUUCGCUGCAAUGAAGUUUUUCAAACUUACUUACCAUGGAAGACAAACCUAGAACUGAAGCUAAAACAAACCCUUUGUUCCCUGAGUUGUUUUUUUGCCAAGGGAUUUUAAUCACAACAGGAAGAGAAACCAGGACAACUUCUCUCCCUGGUGUACUCCUCUACAAGAGUUACAGCCCAGUCAAGCCCCUGGAGAUAGAGAGGAGCCAACGGGGAAGGUGGGAAGGUGUGUCAGCCCCUCCGCACUCCCCCAGCUGGCAUCUGACAUGGGCCAGAAGCAGAGUCAUUGGCCACAUCUCCAGAGACAGGGUAUAACCCUGGGGAUUCACACCUAAGCAGGGGAGGCAAAAGGGAAUCCCCUUUCCUUAUCCCACCUGCUAUAGAGACUUGCAGAGUGAGGUCAACUCCUGGUUGUGUAACUGAAGGAGUCACUGCCAUUAGAAGACACAGAGCAGCUCAAAUUGUGGGAAGCCACCUCUCCCUCAGCUGAGAGUUUGUAGGGAGCAUGGGAUCAUAUUCAGGGGCUCAUGUGCUCAUGAGCAGGUGUCCAUCAUCCUCAUUAGCCUCUUCGUAGGUCCUCACACCAUUCUCCCAAGCCCUGGUUCCCAUUCUCUCCACUCCAAAUGUUUUAGAAAGCAUAUCUUCCUUGGCUGUCUUUGGUGUGUCCCAGGCAAAUGCUGGCUUUACCUGUGCGGGGUAGGCACCAUUUCCUUGGGAGGAGCUAUGUGUGACAGGGGCUGAGUCCCACCCCAGACCUAGCAGAUGACAUUUUCUGAUCCUAGACCAUAUAUACCUAGAAGGGUGACCCCCCCCCCAAAAAAAAGCUUUAACUCAUCUCAGUGACAGGAUAUGGAGCAACUCAUCUGUGGCACGCAGCUUAGGGAACCGUGGCAGCCAGGGCAAAGGCCACACACUGCCAGAAGCUUCUGUAGA
rnacentral:lncRNA from 1 species